UGCAUCUCUGGCAAUUGAUUUUCUUCACGCUGAUUCUCGGCGUUGUCAAGGGUCGUCCUGCGUGUGAGCUCUUGCUCAGACCCAGACCUCUCUUGUUGCUCUCACUCGCGCCAUACUCAAUGGACUCUUUUGGUAGUCAUUGAGUCUCAUUUACUCGAGUAACCAGAAGCCACCUAUGAGUCUACAAUCUUCGUGUUAUGCUAAGAACAGAGCUCAAAGGAUCGAGCGAGCAAGCGAGUUCGGGGAGUCUUUUACAGCAUGAGCAAGUACACCAUGUACUUGAAAAUUGCUGAACAAGAGGUGUUUCGUUUGUAGCACAUGUGAAGACCGAAUGAUUGGACGACAAUCCGUGGAGAAUUGACACGACGGACAACGAGAGCAUGGCAGAAGCCGUCCGUCCCCAUCCCAUACUCGUUGUGCUACUCUGUGUCGGCUCUGUCGGUUUGAAUAUGUAGAGGACCGACAAUAAAGUAUUAUUCAAUGAAGGGUAACGACCAACGCCGAAGAUGUGCUCCUCCCUAAAAAGGUUUGGAAAGCACUUGAUGAGCAAGAAAAAGAUUCCUGGAAAACGCCAAAAACAUGGAAGAAUGAUUCAAGAGAAUAAGGAAAAUCAUGGCUACAAAAAAACAUCCUAAAGGAACUAAAACGAAGCUUGCACGAUGAACUCCAGACCUUACCAGCAAACCAAAUUGUCGUUAAGGAGAUCCAUUCAGUUUCCAAGGCUUGGCCGCAAAAUAACUCAAGAACCCCAAUGCUGAUCCUUCUUCCCAUCAAAGAAGGCCUCAACUUCUUCCUCUAGUGCUCCAAGACCAUAUUGCUUUUUAACCUUCUGCUACAACUUCCCUCAUUUUGAGUUCUAUUGCCAAUUUCGCUCUACCGUUUAGCUUUCUCUAGUUCUAUCUGUAACUGUUAUUAUCCCGCGUUUUGUAAUUUCUUAUCACAUUGUUAAUUACUUGUUUAUAAACAAAGGUUAAAAUCUAAAA